rnacentral:rRNA from 1 species
UGGGGAAUAUUGGACAAUGGGGGCAACCCUGAUCCAGCAAUGCCGCGUGUGUGAAGAAGGUUUUCGGAUUGUAAAGCACUUUCGGCGGGGACGAUGAUGACGGUACCCGCAGAAGAAGCCCCGGCUAACUUCGUGCCAGCAGCCGCGGUAAUACGAAGGGGGCUAGCGUUGCUCGGAAUGACUGGGCGUAAAGGGCGUGUAGGCGGUUUGUACAGUCAGAUGUGAAAUCCCCGGGCUUAACCUGGGAGCUGCAUUUGAGACGUGCAGACUAGAGUGUGAGAGAGGGUUGUGGAAUUCCCAGUGUAGAGGUGAAAUUCGUAGAUAUUGGGAAGAACACCGGUGGCGAAGGCGGCAACCUGGCUCAUUACUGACGCUGAGGCGCGAAAGCGUGGGGGAGC